GACGAACGCUGGCGGCGUGGAUUAGGCAUGCAAGUCGGACGGUAGAGCUUUAUCGUAAGAUAGAGUUUGAGAGUGGCGAACGGGUGAGUAACACGUAGGAAUCUACCCUUAAGACGGGGACAACCCAGGGAAACUUGGGCUAAUACCGGAUGAGAGUGCGAGAGAUUGCAUUUAAAAGGAUGGCGAAAGUUGUCGCUUAGGGAUGAGCCUGCGGUCUAUUAGUUAGUUGGUGAGGUAAGAGCCCACCAAGGCGACGAUGGGUAGCCGGCCUGAGAGGGUGAACGGCCACACUGGGACUGAGACACGGCCCAGACUCCUACGGGAGGCAGCAGUAGGGAAUCUUCCACAAUGGGCGAAAGCCUGAUGGAGCGACGCCGCGUGAGGGACGAAGGCCUCGGUCGUAACUCUGUCCCGGGACGAGAGAGGACGGUACCUGGGACGGAAGCCACGGCUAACUACGUG
rnacentral:rRNA from 1 species